UACGUAGGGUGCGAGCGUUAAUCGGAAUUACUGGGCGUAAAGCGUGCGCAGGCGGUUGUACAAGACAGGUGUGAAAUCCCCGGGCUUAACCUGGGAACUGCGUUUGAAACUGGGGAGCUAGAGUGUAGAAGAGGGGGGUGGAAUUCCAGGUGUAGCAGUGAAAUGCGUAGAGAUCUGGAGGAACACCGAUGGCGAAGGCAGCCCCCUGGGCUAACACUGACGCUCAUGCACGAAAGCGUGGGGAGCAAACAGG
rnacentral:rRNA from 1 species